UGAAUCUUAUCUGCAUAGAUUUGACACUUGUGGCAUUUCUUCACAAACUUUCAACAGUCAGAUUCCAUUGUCAACCAAUAGUAACCUACUCUCAACAUCUUCUUUGACAUAUAUUAUCCAUUGGAAUGAGUACCAAAGGAACCUUGAUGGACUUCAGUCAUCAAUAGGUAUGCCUCAUGUCUAUCCAUGCAUCUGAGCAAAACCAUAUCGAAGUUUCUC
rnacentral:lncRNA from 1 species